rnacentral:rRNA from 1 species
AUUCGACCUCAAAUCAGGUAGGACUACCCGCUGAACUUAAGCAUAUCAAUAAGCGGGAAGGA